UUGAAAAUUUUAAUUUUUUUUUAUUUUUCAAAAUUUGAAAUCUUAUCCCAAAACCUCAUUUCUCAACUCUAAACCCUAAACCCUAAACUCUAAACUCUAAACCCUAAACCUUAAAUUCUAAACCCUAAACCCUAAUCCCUAAACCCUAAACUUUAAACUCUAAACCCUAAACUCUAAAUCCUAAACCCUAAAUUCUAAACCCCACCCUUUAACUCUAAACCUUAAAUUUGUGACUUUUGAUAAAACAUUAAGUGAUAUUUUUGUGACUUUUUAGCUUGAGUGCUAGUUUGGGAACAUAAUGAUUUAGUGCUAUUUUUAUUUUUUUCUCU
rnacentral:lncRNA from 1 species